rnacentral:rRNA from 1 species
GAUGAACGCUGGCGGCGUGCCUAAUACAUGCAAGUCGAGCGAACGGACGAGAAGCUUGCUUCUCUGAUGUUAGCGGCGGACGGGUGAGUAACACGUGGAUAACCUACCUAUAAGACUGGGAUAACUUCGGGAAACCGGAGCUAAUACCGGAUAAUAUUUUGAACCGCAUGGUUCAAAAGUGAAAGACGGUCUUGCUGUCACUUAUAGAUGGAUCCGCGCUGCAUUAGCUAGUUGGUAAGGUAACGGCUUACCAAGGCAACGAUGCAUAGCCGACCUGAGAGGAUGAUCGUGCUCUCUGGGUCUGCGGCCCGAUCGCUGCUCCUGCGGGUGGCAGCGAGUGGGAAUCUGCCGCAGUGGGCUAAAUCGUUACGUAGCAACGCCGCUAGAGUGAGGACCCCCUUCGUGUCGUAAAUCUCUGUUUUUAGGGAAGAACAGAUGUGUAAGUAACUGUGCAUUUAUUGACGGAACCGAAUCAGAAGGCCACUGCUAACUACGU